AUUGAACGCUGGCGGCAGGCCUAACACAUGCAAGUCGAGCGAGCGGCGGACGGGUGAGUAAUGUCUGGGAAACUGCCUGAUGGAGGGGGAUAACUACUGGAAACGGUAGCUAAUACCGCAUACCAUCAGAUGUGCCCAGAUGGGAUUAGCUAGUAGGUGGGGUAACGGCUCACCUAGGCGACGAUACCUAGCUGGUCUGAGAGGAUGACCAGCAAACCUGGGACUGAGACACUGUCCAUAUUCCAACGGGAGGCAGCAGGGGGGAAUGUUUCACAAUGGGCGCGAGCCUGAUGCAGCCAUGCCUCGGGUGUGAAGAAGGCCUUCGGGUUGUAAAGCACUUUCAGCGGGGAGGCGUUACCCGCAGAAGAAGCACCGGCUAACUCCGUGCCAGCAGCCGCGGUAAUUC
rnacentral:rRNA from 1 species